UGUAGCUGUAGAUCACGUGGUCUCGCUUCUCGCCGCGGAGGGAAACGGUAACCUAGCAACAAGGGACGAGGCUUUCAAAUCUACUACGAAGGGCCGCCAUUACUGAAGGGAGGCGUGUAAGUAACCUAACGAUUAGUUCUCUUCUUCCUGACGAUGGAUAUUAUGAAGGGAAGCUUGGAUGACAUUUCCAGACCCGCCACGGUGUCUCGUUCCCGUCCUGGAAGUCGCUUGUUAAGUUCAUUCCAAGUGGAUAAACAAAAAGUGAACUCAUCUCUGUGCUCUUUGGAAGUUUUGACUCCGGAGCCUGGAAUGUCACAGUGGGAACCUACAGUAACUGCAGAUGAUGAACAAGACACCUCUCCCCAACUUGGUUCAGACGACCCCGGCGAUGAGAAGACCCCACAGAGUCGUACAAGGAUCGGUGUUGGAUUAUACCAAAACAAGAUGACCAGUUCUCCAGAAGAUCCAGUUUUCUGUUCUGGAAAUGGAGAAUGUAAAGAUGAAUCGCAGAAUAACGAAACGGCUGGGAAAACCAGAAAUGGCUUUCAAGACGGAUCCACUGAGCGGCCACAAAGUACAGAAGACAACAUUGACCCUAAACUGGAAAAAGCCUUUAAGAAGAUGAAAGUCUUAGAUGAAGUCUUACUGAGAAAGGUGGCAAAGGAGAAGGAGGUGAAAGUUCAGGGUCUGGAGAUGCGAAAACAACUGUGGGAAGAUCUCCAGCAUGUGUCACAACAGUCUUCAGCUCGCAGCCAUGAUGAAAAUGUUAAUACUAACAAAUUUCUGGCGCUGACUCCCAACUUGGAUGACACAGAAGCAGACACCGAUGUCUUUGAGAAAAUGUUUCCCCCUUUGUUUUCCACUCAACUUCCUCCUGAAGACUGCAUUGAGGACCUGGAAGACUCUCAAGGUAAACUGGAUCAUUGGCCCUUACAGUGCAAACAAGCUAUUCCAGUCAUCUCGGCAUCUGCGAUUGUAGGUAAUGUUUCUGGCGUUGAAUCCUGUGACUUAUUAAGCAGCAGCAAAAGAUCCGAUCACAAGAAGAUGCAGGGGAAAAGUACAGACUAUAAAAGAGUCAAUUUCAUCCACAGGAACAUUGAGCUGGUGAAAGACGCCGGGUCCCAUAUUCUUCUCAUGGAUGACGAAAAGUUACGACUGGAGCAGCUGCUAGGGGAUGUUCAAGAUGGCGGCAGUGAUGAUGACAUCAUGGCUGGUGUCCCUCUUUGGCUUGUGCCUGCUGAAGGCUAUACUGCAGAACCUGAUGACCUUGACAGGCUGGCUCAGAUAGAAGCACAGUUGCAGAUGUUCUCAAGCAUUGAAGAUUCUGUUGUGGCAGAUGAUGAUCAUUCUGUUCGAGAGUCACUACAGGAAGUUUCGGCAGUCAAGUGCGGGAACCUGGAGACUUCACCGGGGGAGAAAGUUUUACGUUACACAAAGGAGCUGCGGGAGCAAAAGGUCCGCCUGAAGGAAAUAGACCAGUGCCUUGAAGACAUCCAACGAAGUAACAGCAGUGAGAGUUGUAGCUCCCUAUGGAGUGAGUCAGCUGUCUAUAUAUCAUAGUAAUAACACGCGCCAUAUUCUCCGCACAAUGUCUCUGGGUCUCUUCAUGACAAGUACAGGAGGACAAGAUGUACAAAUGAAAAGGAGACAUAAGAGACUCAGCACGUGGAGCUACAAAGAGCAUCUCUCCACCCAGCAUAUCCAUGCAUUACAGAAACAGCGUAAUCAUUUCAAUGGACAUGGUGUAAUACUUCAUUCCUCCUGUGGUGGUGCUGCAGCGGAACUCAACACUUUCUGCUGCUUUCUCUGAGGAAAAUCCUGUGGUCAGCUGAUCAUCAGGACCGAUCUAAGAAAUAAAGGGAUUAUCCUAAACAGGCUACCCCAUUAUUAACUUCCAUUACUGUGAGAAAAGAAUUUCAUCUGCUUCAAACACUCUGCGCAGUGAAGUGUUGUCUUAUCUACAGGGUGGAGUGUUCGGAUGCUGAAUUAACCCCUUGGAGACUCAGGGUUUUUCCGUUUUUGCAUUUUCUUUGUUUCCUCCUCACCUUUCAAAAAUCAGAACCCUUUCAAUUUUGCACCUACAGACCCAAAUGAUGGCUUAUUUUUUCUUCACCAAUUCUACUUUGUGAUGACAUCGUUCAUUAUACCCAACAAUCUACGGCAAAACCAAAAAUAAAUCAUUGUGCGACAUAAUUGAAAAAAAAAAGACAUUUUGUAACUUUUGGGGGCUUCUGUUUCUACGCAGUACAUUUUUUGGUAUCUUUAUUCUGUAGGUCCAUACGGUUAAAAUGAUCCCCUACUUAUAUAGGUUUGAUUUUGUCGCACUUCUGUAAAAAAUCAUAACUACAUGCAGGAAAAUUUAUACGUUUAAAAUUGUCAUCUUCUGACCCCCUAUAACUUUUAAAUUUUUUUUUGCGUUCGGGGCGGUAUGAGGGCUGAUUUUUUUGCGCUGUGAACUGAAUUUUUUAUCGGUACCAUUUUUGUUUUGAUCAGACCUAUUGAUCGGAUUUUAUACAUUUUUUAUGGUAUAUAAAGUGACCAAAAUCACUCAAAUUUUUACUUUGGAAUUUUUUUUUGCACGUACGCCAUUGACCGUGCGGUUUUAUUAACUAAAUAUUUUUUUAGUUCAGACAUUUACGCACGUGGCGAUACCACAUAUGUUUAUAUUUAUUUUCAUUUACAUGUUUUGUUUUUU